GGCUUUGUAGUGUAGUGGUUAUCACUUGAGAUUCUGAUUUGGUCACCUAAUGACUGAUGUUCUCAAAACCCAGGUUCGAGUCCUGGCAAGGCCU
rnacentral:tRNA from 1 species